AAGAUGGCGACCGGCGCACGGGUGAGUAACACGUAUCCAACCUGCCGAUAACUCCGGAAUAGCCUUUCGAAAGAAAGAUUAAUACCGGAUGGCAUACGAAUAUCGCAUGAUAUUUUUAUUUAAAGAAUUUCGGUUAUCGAUGGGGAUGCGUUCCAUUAGUUUGUUGGCGGGGUAACGGCCCACCAAGACUACGAUGGAUAGGGGUUCUGAGAGGAAGGUCCCCCACAUUGGAACUGAGACACGGUCCAGACUCCUACGGGAGGCAGCAUG
rnacentral:rRNA from 1 species